GUGACAGGCCGAUACCGUGCGGCGGACUGUUAAUCAGUGGGCCCCUUUAAUUACAGAUGUCUUAUGCGUGCCGACAUAUAUGUACUAUACAUAUGUAGCGCAUAAUUAUUUUCCAUCGUAUUCUCACGGAAACUUACGAACGUGUCUUGCUAUUUCAGUCAGUCUCGGUACAAAAAGUACUGAGGACUGAAGUAGCAUGAAAAAUACGAACGUUUCCGAGAAAAUACGAUGGAAAACAAUUAUGCACAUCUGUAUAGUUAUGAUGUAAGUACCAUGUUAUUGUACAAAAUAUUAAAUAUGUCAAAAGGUCCAAUUAUGUGUGGGGCAGAAUUAAAAAAGAUUUUAGAGCGUUGUGGCACUUUUGGCUUUCCAUGUGAGAAGGGGAAGGGGGGUAAGGGGCUUCUCUGGUGAAAGCCACAUAAAAAAGUUUUGGGCAAUUCUCGGGAUUAGUUGCCAAGCAGACCCGACUUAGCUUGGUCUGACUAUAGAAAUAUACAACCAACAAUAUACCUAUAAGAUAGAUUUGUGGCAGUAAAGGUUGACCUUACAGUGUGAACACCUCCUUACAUUAUAGUACAUCACAAAAUAUUUCGCUUACAAAAUCACUCUUGUCGGCAUGCAUAUUGUUUCUGUAAGUUUCUAUUGUGUGUUGCUUCACUCGCGCUUGGGCUACUUGACAAGCUAGAAUUACAAAUAUGUGAUUUUGAGUUAUUUAGUUUAUAAAUAUUCAGGCGGUGCCACAGACAAAACAUCCUCCAGACUGAGCAUAGUCGCGCUAGUCGCGCUACCCCCUCUGCCACGCGUACGGUAAUUUUACUCCAUGUCCGAGUCGAAAGUGUCCUUGUGUGACGCCCGUGUCUUUGAACGGACCAAUCACGGCACGGGACUCGCUCACCUCGUCCCCCGCACCCCUGUAUUUUUGGCAGCAUCGGUUUCAUGAAAUAAUAGGGAUGUUUCCUCUACUUAAAAUAAGUUAUUUCACACCGUACACGGAAUAAAGGCCAGAUAAUAAUCAGAAAAACAUAGGCAGCAGUUAUUUUAAAGCACUAUUUCUAUUUAAUAUAUCGGAUUGAAAUAUAAAAAGUAGGUGAGUUGACUGUGACGUCACUACAUUAGUUUUCAUAUAAAUUCCAUAUUAGCAAAUCGUUUUGACAGUUCUAAAAAUAAAGCUGAUUUUACUAGUAGGAAUGUAGCCUAUUGCUCUAAGGGGCUAUUCAUAAAUUACGUCAUUUCAAAUUAGGGGGGGGUCUGGACAUCGGAUGACGGUAGCUUGAAGUAGGAGGAAAUGGGGUCAUUUGAUGCAUGAUUUUUGGAUGAUUAUAGGGGGGGGGGGGGUCAAAAAUAGUCAAAAAUCGAUUACGUAAUUUAUGGACAGCCCCUAAGCUCCGUCUAGAGGAUUCCUAGUCUUAUGUGUGAACAGCACUGGCUAUUUAAGCUGUGGUAUUCGUAUUUGUGCAAAUUGACUUGUCAAUAUAGUUCGCGAGAUUCUGGAGACAACUUUUUUAGAGCGACGGGUGUGACUACUAUAGUUCGUUUUUUUUAGCAUUAGAAAGAACUUGCAAGAAGGUAAGCGAUCUUGAUAUGUCUUUUAAUUGAAAAACGCUUUUUAAAAUUCAAAAACUAUUACUUAUGAAAGCAGAAGAAUAUAAAUGAUCGUAAUAGAUUCAUAAUUGUUACAUAUUUGCAGUAACUUAUUUUUAAAAUGUGUUUUUCAAUUAAAAGACACAUCAAGAUUGUUUACCUAAUUUCUAAUGCUAAAAAAACGAACUUAGGGUGGUUCAUGUUUGUAUGGGAAAAAUUCAAACUCCAGCUAGAAGAAGCGGCACCCUCUCAUUUUGUUACACUUGUUCUGUUGACUAAAUAUGCCAAAUUUUGUAAUCUUAUCUCAACUACAAGGGGGUGCUCAAACACUUUGAAAUUUUUCAAAGUUGUAUGAAAUCCAAAAAAAUCAAGUUAUUAUUUUUUUGAGUUUUAUGUAAGUAGUAGUUUUCACAUUAUUUAAAAGUGUGAUUUAAAAGUUAUUUGGCGAAAAACCAUUUAUAUUUCUAUUUUUUAUGAUUUUUUUAGGUGAAAUUCUAAAAAUCUUACUUUUGAAAAAUUAUAAAAAAUAGAAAUAAAUAUGUUUUUCUACUUUAAAACUUAUAAAUCACAUGUGCAAAUAAUGUGAAAACAGAUACUUAAAUAAAAUUCUGAAUAAUAAAUACUUGUUUUUUUUUGGUUUUCAUACAACAUACAAAAUUUUCGAAGUGGUUGAGCACCCCCUUGUAGUUGAGAUGAAAUUACGAAACUUGGUGUAUUUUAUCAGCUUAAUAAGUGUAACAAAAUAAUCCCCUUAUUUCCCCGCCCCGUCGGAAAAAAAUGUUUUUUAAACCACCCUAGUGACUGCCCUUUUUUUGUUGCAACAAUUGUCACUAGAUGGCGCUGCUUGUCGUUUAGAUGACGCUAUCGUUUGUUCUCCGUAGUUUACUUAAGGUUGAUGCAACCACGAUAAAUGUUACUAUCAUAAUCCAUGUUAUGAUGAUAAUCAUCAAUUUUUGAAUUCGAUCUUACUAAUUCCAGUAAGAACGAACAUAAUUAUCAUUGUAAGGGUAAGGCCACACAAAAUUGUAGAGUUAGACCAAGAACGUUUGGAAACUUACCCGUGUUUAAGGGAUUUUCUUAUUUUUCCGAAAGUUAGAAAUAAGAAUGACAAGCUUAUUAAUUGAAAAAAAGCCGGACAAGUGUGAGUUGGAGUCGCCCUACGAGGGUUCCGUACAUAAAAAUAGAACCCUAAAAACGUAUUUUCCUAAAUAAGUUUUAAGCAGUUUUGUGGCGAUCCAUACAAAAUGAAUAGUGCUUUGUUAAGUUAUAUGAAUAAGGGGGGGGUAAAUCCUGAAUAUUUGUAUUUGACAGCUUGUCAAGUCGCUCCGCCGCGCUACAAACUGUCGUGACAGUUGACAGUUCGACUGUCAAAUUGUAAGCAACGUCCGUAGAGCGGUAAUUUAUAUGGAAGUUUAUUGUAACGUGUAGAGAGUAUAUAAUUGUUAAUAUUAAAGAUUUUAGCGUA